UACGGAGGGUGCAAGCGUUAUCCGGAUUCACUGGGUUUAAAGGGUCCGUAGGCGGAUCUGUAAGUCAGUGGUGAAAUCUCACAGCUUAACUGUGAAACUGCCAUUGAUACUGCAGGUCUUGAGUGUUGUUGAAGUAGCUGGAAUAAGUAGUGUAGCGGUGAAAUGCAUAGAUAUUACUUAGAACACCAAUUGCGAAGGCAGGUUACUAAGCAACAACUGACGCUGAUGGACGAAAGCGUGGGGAGCGAACAGG
rnacentral:rRNA from 1 species